rnacentral:rRNA from 1 species
CCAGACUCCUACGGGAGGCAGCAGUGGGGGAUAUUGCACAAUGGGGGGAACCCUGAUGCAGCGACGCCGCGUGAGUGAAGAAGUAAUUCGUUAUGUAAAGCUCUAUCAGCAGGGAAGAAUAAAUGACGGUACCUGAGUAAGAAGCCCCGGCUAACUACGUGCCAGCAGCCGCGGUAAUACGUAGGGGGCAAGCGUUAUCCGGAUUUACUGGGUGUAAAGGGAGCGUAGACGGUGAGACAAGUCUGAAGUGAAAGCCCGGGGCUCAACCCCGGGACUGCUUUGGAAACUGCCUGACUGGAGUGCUGGAGAGGCAAGCGGAAUUCCUAGUGUAGCGGUGAAAUGCGUAGAUAUUAGGAAGAACACCAGUGGCGAAGGCGGCUUGCUGGACAGUAACUGACGUUGAGGCUCGAAAGCGUGGGGAGCAAACAGGAUUAGAUACCCGAGUA